UACGGGGGGUGCAAGCGUUAUCCGGAUUUACUGGGUUUAAAGGGUGCGCAGGCGGAUAUGUACGUCAGUGGUGAAAUCUCUAGGCUUAACCUGGAAAUUGCCGUUGAUACUAUAUAUCUUGAAUGCUGUGGAGGUAAGCGGAAUAUGUCAUGUAGCGGUGAAAUGCUUAGAUAUGACAUAGAACACCUAUUGCGAAGGCAGCUUACUACGCAGAUAUUGACGCUCAUGCACGAAAGCGUGGGGAUCAAACAGG
rnacentral:rRNA from 1 species